rnacentral:rRNA from 1 species
UACGAAGGGGGCUAGCGUUGCUCGGAAUCACUGGGCGUAAAGCGCACGUAGGCGGAUUGUUAAGUCAGGGGUGAAAUCCUGGAGCUCAACUCCAGAACUGCCUUUGAUACUGGCGAUCUUGAGUCCGGGAGAGGUGAGUGGAACUCCGAGUGUAGAGGUGAAAUUCGUAGAUAUUCGCAAGAACACCAGUGGCGAAGGCGGCUCACUGGCCCGAUACUGACGCUGAGGUGCGAAAGCGUG